rnacentral:rRNA from 1 species
CAUGUAGGCGGAUAUGCAAGCUUGGUGUGAAAGGCAGGGGCUUAACUCCUGGACUGCGUUGAGAACUGCAUAACUAGAGUAACUGAGGGGCAACCGGAAUUCCAGGUGUAGGGUGAAAUCUGUAGAUAUCUGGAAGAACACCAAUGGCGAAGGCAGGUUACCAGCAGAUUACUGACGCUGAGGUGCGAAGGUGCGGGGAGCAAACA